rnacentral:rRNA from 1 species
GACAGAGGUCCCGAGCGUUAGGCGGAAUCACUGGGCUUAAAGCGUGUGUAGGCGGAUCGUUAAGUACCUUGUGAAAUCCCACGGCUUAACCGUGGAACUGCUUGGUAUACUGGCGAUCUUGAGCCACUUAGGGGCUACCGGAACAAAUGGUGGAGCGGUGAAAUGCGUAGAUAUCGGAAGGAACGCCGGUGGCGAAAGCGAUCGACUGGACCUCUUCUGACGCUGAGGCGCGAAAGCCAGGGGAGCAAACGGG